rnacentral:rRNA from 1 species
UUCCAGCUUUCCCAUAGCGUAUAUUAAAGUUGUUGCAGUUAAAAAGCUCGUAGUUGGAUUUGUGGCAGGUGCGUGCGGCCCGACACUGUGUGUUGGUGUUUGUGCGCGUCGCCAUCCUUGGGUGGAACCUGUGUGGCAUUAGGUUGUCGUGCAGGGGAUGCCCAUCUUUUACUGUGAAAAAAUUAGAGUGUUCAAAGCAGGCUUAUGCCGUUGAAUAUAUUAGCAUGGAAUAAUGAGAUAGGACCUUGGUACUAUUUUGUUGGUUUGCGCACCAAGGUAAUGAUUAAUAGGGACAGUUGGGGGUAUUCGUAUUCCAUUGUCAGAGGUGAAAUUCUUGGAUUUCUGGAAGACGAACUACUGCGAAAGCAUUUACCAAGGAUGUUUUCAUUAAUCAAGAACGAAAGUUAGGGGAUCGAAGAUGAUUAGAUACCAUCGUAGUCUUAACCAUAAACUAUGCCGACAAGGGAUUGGCGGGGUUACAUUUUGUCUCCGUCAGCACCUUAUGAGAAAUCACAAGUCUUUGGGUUCCGGGGGGAGUAUGGUCGCAAGG